UGAGCACCCAAACCAAUGCCGCUCUUCGGUGCUGCGGCUUAAAGGGAGGUAUACAGCAAGUGUAUUUCUGUCUCCUUUGUGGGGCUGGGCUGUGCCCUUCAGAAUGAACUUAGAGGUUCUACACGG